rnacentral:rRNA from 1 species
AUGGAGGAUGCAAAAUAUGCAAAGACAGAGGUUUCCGUCCCCGCUGACAAAGUGGAGAACGAGGCUGCAAACAAGCAGAGGCAGGUCGAGAAAGAACCGCAAGCAACUCUAGCAGGCCUAGACUUCAUCAACAACCUCCCUGAUGAUAUGUUGAUAGUCAUCAUAUCCCUCCUCCCAAUCUUAUAUCGGGCGAGGACAGUCGCCCGUUCCCAGCGGUGGCGCACCCUAUGGCUCCGCACCCCUGUCGACCUCCUCGACACCCACAAGCUCUGCCAUGGCUAUCGCCAAAGCUUGGAUGCGUUCUCCCAGAUCCUCGAUAGUCACGAUAGCCCAAUCAAAGGCCUUAUCACGGGCAAAUUACAUUCCAAUGGCAAGGACCAAGCCAAGCUUGACGAGUGUUUCCGGUCCCGCGCCAUAGAUCAUCUCGAGAAGCUAGAACGACGACAACAACAACAAAAACAAAAACAACAACAACAACAACAACAACAACAACAACAACAACAACAACAACAACAACAACAACAACAACAACAACAACAACAACAACAACAACAACAACAACAACAACAACAACAACAACAACAACAACAACAACAACAACAACAACAACAACAACAACAACAACAACAACAACAACAACAACAACAACAACAACAACAACAACGACGACGACGAUGA